UUGGGAAUCUUGCACAAUGGGGGAAACCCUGAUGCAGCGACGCCGCGUGGAGGACGAAGGAUCUAGGUCUGUAAACUCCUUUUUCACGGAAAGACUUAGGACGGUACCGUGAGAAUAAGCUCCGGCUAACUACGUGCCAGCAGCCGCGGUAAGACGUAGGGAGCGAGCGUUGUCCGGAUUUACUGGGCGUAAAGAGCGCGUAGGCGGCUCGUUAAGUAUGAAGUGAAAUCUCCAGGGCUCAACCCGGAAACUGCUUCGUAGACUGGCAAGCUUGAGGAAUGCAGAGGUAAGUGGAAUUCCUGGUGUAGCGGUGAAAUGCGUAGAUAUCAGGAGGAACACCGACGGCGAAGGCAGCUUACUGGGCAUUAUCUGACGCUGAGGCGCGAAAGCGUGGGUAGCAAACAG
rnacentral:rRNA from 1 species